rnacentral:rRNA from 1 species
GACGAACGCUGGCGGCGUGCUUAACACAUGCAAGUCGAACGGAAAGGCCCUGCUUUUGUGGGGUGCUCGAGUGGCGAACGGGUGAGUAACACGUGAGUAACCUGCCCUUGACUUUGGGAUAACUUCAGGAAGCUGGGGCUAAUACCGGAUAGGAGCUCCUGCUGCAUGGUGGGGGUUGGAAAGUUUCGGCGGUUGGGGAUGGACUCGCGGCUUAUCAGCUUGUUGGUGGGGUAGUGGCUUACCAAGGCUUUGACGGGUAGCCGGCCUGAGGGGGUGACCGGCCAAAUGGGGACGGUGAUACGGCCCAAGCUCCCAGGGGGGGCAGCGGUGGGGAAUAUGGCAAAAGGGGCGGAAACAUGAAGCAGCAAACCCGCGGGGGGGAUAAAGGCCUUGGGGUGGAAAACCGCCUUCGCCUGUGACGAAGGGUGGGGGAGGGAAAUGGGAAAAAAAACCCCGGAUAAAUAAGU